rnacentral:rRNA from 1 species
GUGUCAGCCGCCGCGGUAAAACGUAGGAGGCGAGCGUUAUCCGGAAUUACUGGGCGUAAAGCGCGCGUAGGCGGUGAUGCAAGUGGUGCGUGAAAGCUCUUGGCUCAACUGGGAGAGGUCGUACCAAACUGCAUGACUAGAGACAGCAAGAGGUCAAUGGAAUUUCGGGUGGAGCGGUGAAAUGCGUAGAGAUCCGGAGGAACACCAGAGGCGAAGGCGAUUGACUGGGGCUGUUCUGACGCUGAGGAGCGAAAGCGUGGGGAGCGAACGGGAUUAGAAACCCCGGUAGUCCACGCUGUAAACGAUGCACACUAGACGUACUGUGCGGAAGCGCAUGGUGUGUCGUAGCCAACGCGGUAAGUGUGCCGCCUGGGGAGUACGGUCGCAAGGCUAAAACUUAAAUGAAUUGACGGGG